AGUUUGAUCCUGGCUCAGAUUGAACGCUGGCGGCAUGCUUUACACAUGCAAGUCGAACGGCAGCGCGGGGCAACCUGGCGGCGAGUGGCGAACGGGUGAGUAAUAUAUCGGAACGUACCCAAGAGUGGGGGAUAACGUAGCGAAAGUUACGCUAAUACCGCAUACGAUCUAAGGAUGAAAGCAGGGGAUCUUCGGACCUUGUGCUCCUGGAGCGGCCGAUAUCUGAUUAGCUAGUUGGUGAGGUAAAGGCUCACCAAGGCCACGAUCAGUAGCUGGUCUGAGAGGACGACCAGCCACACUGGAACUGAGACACGGUCCAGACUCCUACGGGAGGCAGCAGUGGGGAAUUUUGGACAAUGGGCGAAAGCCUGAUCCAGCAAUGCCGCGUGAGUGAAGAAGGCCUUCGGGUUGUAAAGCUCUUUUGUCAGGGAAGAAACGGUAAAGGCUAAUAUCCUUCGCUAAUGACGGUACCUGAAGAAUAAGCACCGGCUAACUACGUG
rnacentral:rRNA from 1 species